GCCAGGCGUGGUGGCGCGUGUCUGUAGUCCCAGCUACAUGGGAGGCUGAGGCUGGAGGAUCUCCUGAGUCCGGGAGUUCUGGGCUGUAGUGCGCUAUGCCAAUCGGGUGUCCACACUAAGUUCGGCAUCAAUAUGGUGAACUCCAGGGAGCGGGGGACCACCAGGUUGCCUAAGGAGGGGUGAACCGGCCCAGGUCAGAAACGGAGCAGGUCAAAACUCCCUUACUGAUCAGUAGUGGGAUUGUGCCGGUGAAUAGCCACUGCACUCCAGCCUGGGCAACAUAGCGAGACCCUGUCUCU
rnacentral:SRP_RNA from 1 species